rfam:Dipodomys ordii contig_61996, whole genome shotgun sequence.
GGGAAGGUGGCUCAGUGGUAGAGUGCUUGCCUUGCAUGCAUGAGGCCCUGGGUUCGAUUCCUCAGCCCCA